AUUGAACGCUGGCGGCAUGCCUUACACAUGCAAGUCGAACGGCAGCACGGGAGCAAUCCUGGUGGCGAGUGGCGAACGGGUGAGUAAUAUAUCGGAACGUGCCCAGUCGUGGGGAUAACGUAGCGAAAGCUACGCUAAUACCGCAUACGAUCUAUGGAUGAAAGCGGGGGAUCGCAAGACCUCGCGCGAUUGGAGCGGCCGAUAUCAGAUUAGGUAGUUGGUGAGGUAAAGGCUCACCAAGCCGACGAUCUGUAGCUGGUCUGAGAGGACGACCAGCCACACUGGGACUGAGACACGGCCCAGACUCCUACGGGAGGCAGCAGUGGGAAUUUUGGACAAUGGCGCAAGCCUGAUCCAGCAAUGCCGCGUGCAGGAUGAAGGCC
rnacentral:rRNA from 1 species